GGGGCAGUAAAGGUUUCGACGGGGGCCUUGAAGCCGGAGAAGCUAUCCGCAGGCAGAUGCGUUAAAUCGCAACCUAAACAUAAACGCAGAAGAUAAUUUUGCACUGCAGGCUGCUUAAUUGCAGCUGCUGUCCGACCUGAAGCACCUGCACUUCGGGACCCGGGCAUCGACGAUGCAGGAAACGACAUAUGCUAAGCUUUGCACAUAUGGGCGUAUCAUGAAGCUACUGAACGCAGUCAGGUGUCUGCUCCCGGCUGCCGGAGGGAAUGUCAAAUAACAGACUAUGAUAGUAGAAGGACGGGGGACAGACUUUCGGACACGGGUUCGAUUCCCGUCUGCUCCA
rnacentral:tmRNA from 1 species